rnacentral:rRNA from 1 species
ACCGUGCAAAGGUAGCAUAAUCAUUAGUUUUUUAAUUGAAAGCUGGAAUGAAUGGUCGGACGAGAAAAUGACUGUCUCAAUUUAAUUUUAAUUAGAACUUUAUUUUUAAGUAAAAAAGCUUAAAUGAUUUUAAAAGACGAGAAGACCCUAUAGAGUUUUAUAUUUAUUAGUAUAUUAAUAAUUAAGAAUGUUUUGAGUUUCUAUAUUAAUAAUUAUUUUGUUGGGGUGACAGGAAAAUUAAAUAAACUUUUUUUUUGUAUUAACAUUGAUUUAUGAGUAUUUGAUCCGUUGUUUACGAUUAAAAGAUUAAAUUACCUUAGGGAUAACAGCGUAAUUCUUUUUGAGAGUUCAUAUCGAAAAAAGAGUUU